rnacentral:misc_RNA from 1 species
AAGUCGUAACAAGGUCUCCGUUGGUGAACCAGCGGAGGGAUCAUUACCGAGUUUUCAACUCCCAAACCCACUGUGAACAUAUACCUUUGUUUUCGUUGCCUCGGCGGUUCGCGCCGCCGGGUGACACCCAAACUCUGAUUUGAUAUAGCAAGUCUUUCUGAGUAAACAAGCAAAUAAAUUAAAACUUUCAACAACGGAUCUCUUGGCUCUG